CGGGGUGUGGCGCAGCUUGGUAGCGCGCGUCGUUCGGGACGACGAGGUCGCAGGUUCAAAUCCUGUCACCCCGA
rfam:Arthrobacter albus DNF00011 contig08, whole genome shotgun sequence.